rnacentral:tRNA from 1 species
GAGACGUUGGCAUAGUGGCUGUGCAUCGGAUUUUUAAUCCGACUUAGGUAGGUUCGAUUCCUACACGUCUCA